AUGAUUCUGGUUGAUGUUCUUCUGGUACAGGGCCUCCUAAUUUUUACAUGUCUUAUGUUUUCAGAUUUGGCAUUUGAAUUUUGAUACAGCUUCCUUCAAGUAUUUGUUUGUUUGUUGAUUUGGUGUUGAAUCAUGUGUUUCAUUCCUUUAGGUUUACCAUUGACGGUUUGGCGUAUUUAGAAUUGGGUUUUUUUCGGCUCUACUAGAUAUUUGUAAGUGGAUCUGUGCAUACUGAUACAUCUUAAGUUCCCAUUGCAGGCUGUUCCGUUCUGGUGCUGUUCGAAUUGGGGAUUUUACUCUACAGGCUGUCUCUUAGUCGAUUUGUGAUUCCAUCUUAACUUACCAGGCUGUGGCUGUGAGGACACUGUAAAUGUUUGGGCACCGCCAACAACAGGGUGGUGCUUGCUGGUGACUAAAUAUCCAACAAUCUCUGUUCAGCUUUGUGUAGCCAUAAUUACAAAAGGGAAUACAGUGAUGCUGGCCUUAUUUGUCUUUGUUAUGUAACUUUUGUAUCCUCCUAUGAAGUUAGGAGUAAACUAUAUAGGUGUGAUGGUGCAAAGGCACCUUAGGUGGUCCUAGCAUAUUAUUCCCAAGAGGCUGUGAAAUGAGUAUACAUUUAUAAGGACCAAA